GGCGGUGAGGAGGGGAGACGGGGAGGGAGGGAGGGAGGGAGGGGGGGAGGAGGCGAGACGCGGCGGCGGCGGCGGCUCCUCAGUCUCGCGGGGCCCUGGACAAGAUGGCGGCGCCGGCGAGAACCCCGCCGCGCUGAGGGGCCCCGGCGGCGGCGGCGGCGCGGUCGGCUCGCAGCCCUCACACACUCACACGCGAGGGCGAGACACGCGUGUAACGGCAGUGUCAAAGUCUCACCCUAACGCCGUCGCCCAAGAGUUUCAGGGCAGGAAGCGAAGGACGCGGCCUCCCGCUGAAAACGCAGGAGGAAUUUAGGUCGCCCGGGUUGGAAUCCGCUCGAGAGGCACAGGGCGAGCUGCCCGAGCUCCUGCGCGAAAUGUUUCAUCUGCUGCACCUCGCCGUGACAAAGGCUGAAAUGCCAGUGGCCCGCUGCGGGAGCUGCGGAUGGCCGUUCUCUGUUUUCAUUUAAAAAAACUAUAACCUAAACCAGGCAGUGAUGCCUCCUGUUAUUCCCUAUUCUAACAAAGUUACAGUUAGCAGGCUUUUUGCUAAUCGCUGGGAUUAUUUGGGAAGGAAACCUGAAGUACAUCUUUGCAUUAACCACUCGGUAAACAAAACAAAGGGUGCAGCUGCUUCAUCACUAUACAAAUGCAACAGUUUUCUUCCAGAACUUUUUUUUUGUGCAUUUUCCUCACCAACACUAAAACAAGCCAUAACUAUGGUGAAAAUCUGUGUAAGCCUAUUCAUUUUAGAAAUAUGUUUAAUCAUAGAAAUAGCAGCCCUUUUAUCUCAGCGAUUUUCGUGCCUAUGAGCGUAUUAGUCUGGCCUCCUUGCUCCUUUUUUUUGUGCCUUACCAGUUACUGUGGGCUUUCCCUCCUAUUUCCAAUUUAUCCAGUUUAUCCUCCUGGGAAACGUUUAAAAGUUACUGCGGCCAUAAUGCAUAUAACUUUCUUGCCUGUCUCAGUAUUCUCUCCCUGGAGCACUUGACUCUUUCUGAUGACUCUUUUCUGAUGACUCUUUCUGAUGACUUGAGGUGCAUGAGUGCACCUCAGACAAUUUUAGUUGUAUAUUGUUUGAGGGUUCUUGAUCCUUAAAAAAUAAACCGCUGUGUUUAUUGAUGUUCCUUUCUUUUUAUUGUUAGUUAGACCCCAUUUUUUAAUGGCAUGCCAAAUAUUAUGUGCCUUCUCACUAUUAUGGCUUUUUUGGCAGAGCCAAAUAGUGACACAUCAGUGGAGUUUUAUAAUGUGGGCAAUUGUCCACCAAGAAAUUGACUGUCGGUUCACAUAAAAGUCAACAAAAAGGGAGAGGGAGAUGAACAACACUUCUAGAAACAAUACUGGUGCAACUUGUAGCAAGUAUUCCCUCUUGUAAAGAAGUUUUUUUUUUUUUUUUUUCAGCCAAGAGAGAGUAGAAGCUUUGUUUAAUUUAAUUGAAACCUUAGGUCUGGAACAAACUUAAGAAUUGAUUCCUUUUCAGCUUUUUGGGACCUUUGGUGGUAUUCUUCUUAUUUUAGAUUCUACUUUAUGUACAGUUUGCAGAACAGCAUUACUGUCCUGUAAUGAGAUAUAAGAGAAAUGUUGCGUUUGUGUGCGGGGAAAAAAAUAAAACACGCAUUAUGCCA